rnacentral:rRNA from 1 species
UACGUAGGUGACCAGCGUUGUCCGGAUUACUGGGCGUAAAGAGCGCGCAGGCGGUCGUUCAAGUCGAGUGUGAAAGCCCCCGGCUCAACUGGGGAGGUCACUCGAUACUGAUCGACUUGAAGGCAGGAGAGGGAAGCGGAAUUCCCGGUGUAGUGGUGAAAUGCGUAGAUAUCGGGAGGAACACCAGUGGCGAAGGCGGCUUCCUGGCCUGUUCUUGACGC